AUCACUUCUCGGCCUUUUGGCUAAGAUCAAGUGUAGUAUCUGUUCUUAUCAGUUUAAUAUCUGUCAAUGACUUUUUUGCCUUGGUCAUCACUGGCAAGUGCUCGAGCCUCA
rnacentral:snRNA from 1 species